GAGCUCGUCAGUUUAUCGGUGUGCCUUCCUCGUCAGAUCCCACUGGAUCUAGAAGCAGGGAGAUGGGCGCGUGCUGCUCCUUCAGCUGGUCGUUCCACGACCACGCGUUGCUACUACUUCCCUCGGCGCACUCGAUCUGUAUUCCUGUUCGAUGAUAAUAGUCGUGGUCCUAGCGGUCUUACAGUCAAGAAGCAAAGGAACACUGUUAGAAGAUAAUCUGGACACCCAGUAGGCCUGCAGAGGUGAGUUCCAUCCUUGCCUCUUUUUUAUGGCCUCAUGGCAGUCAUAUUUCUUGGUAGUAUCUCAUAAGAAGUUUUUAUGGACUAACCAAGGAGAUCUCGGCUGCACCAUUGCAAGGGAAUCUUAUUAAUUAUUUAGAGGUUGGAGUUGUUGCUACUGUAUGUGCAUCUACAACAUUGCAAGUGUUUGUCAUCCCUAUUGACAACUGAACCUGCACUUUCCUGAAAUUUUAUAGAAUUUCUGCUGGCCCUUAGGUAUUCCAGUUUUCAUUUUCCAUGUUUUGUCAAUACCUUUGAAUUCAAACCUUUCAUCAUGAAAGUUGGGAUUAUUUCAAAGCAUGUCCAUCUAAGUCAUUAGUAAUAAAUGGGUAUGCAGUUUGCUCCAAGAAAAUCUACCAUGUAGGCAUUGAUGUUAUAUGCAGGUUGAUAGCAGAAGAUCACUAUCAAGGUUAGGUCUCUCCAUUAAUGACUUCGAUGCUCUAUCAGAUUUUAACCUCAGAUAUUCUGAUAAAGCAUAUAGGCGAGAGUAGCAUCUUAUACUUUUAUGUGUUGUUAGAUGUUCUGAUUUGAAAAUCGCAUUGAGAUGUCUAAAUUUACUUCUCCAGUUGCUUGCGGAUCUUGCUCAUAUGAGAUGUACGAGUUUAUCUCUGGCUCUUGUUAGAUGGUAGAAAGCAGCAGGCAACUUGUUUUUUUUUGCUUGCAUUACAGUAAGCAGGUUACUUUAGAUCACCACACUACAAAUGCUCCUUAUAGCAAUGUAUAGCUCAGGAUAGAAAUAAAAUGUGUUGCGCUAUUAUUUAUGGUCAAAAUGUCGAACAUUGCUUUCUAAGAGCAAGGUUCAUACAAGGCACACCUUCCCCAUCAAUCCCAGGUGCUCUGUUGCCUUCACCAUCUCAUCAUGAUCCUGCUCUUGACCAUG